CCAUUCCACCCCUGGCCCCUCCCAAAUCUCAUGUCCUCACAUUUCAAAACCAAUCAUGCCUUCCCAACAGUCCCCCAAAGUCUUAAGUCAUUUCAGCAUUAACUCAAAAGUCCACAGUCCAAAGUCUCAUCCGAGACAAGGCAAGUCCCUCCCACCUAUAAGCCUGUAAUACUAAAAGCAAGUUAGUUACUUCCUAGAUACAAUGGGGAUACAAGCAAUGGAUAAAUACAGCUAUUCCAAAUAGAAGAAAUUGGCCAAAACAAAGGGGCUACAGGCCCCAUGCAAGUCCAAAAUCCAAUGGGGCAGUCAAAUCUUAAAGCUUCAAAAUGAUCUCCUUUGACUCCAUGUCUCACAUCCAGGUCAUGCUGAUGCAAGAGGUGGGUUCCCAUGGUAUUGGGCAGCUCUACCCCUGUGGCUUUGCAGAGUACAGCUUUCCUCCUGGCUGCUUUCACAGGCUGGCAUUGAGUGUCUGCAGCUUUUCCAGGUACACGGUGCAAGCUGUCGAUGGGUCUACCAUUCUGGGGUCUGGAGGAUGGUGGCUCUCUUCUCACAGCUCCACUAGAUAGCACACCAGUGGAGACUCUGUGUGAAGGCGCCCACCCCACAUUUCCCUUCCACACUGCCCUAGCAGAGGCUCUCCAUGAGCGCCCUACCCCUGCAGCAAACUUCUACCUGAACAUCCAGGUGUUUUCAUACAUCCUCUGACAUCUAGGCAGAGGUUCCCAAACCUGAAUUCUUGACUUCUGUACACCCACAGGCUCAACACCACAUGGAAGCUGCCAAGGCUUGGGGCUUGCACCUCUGAAGCCACAGCCCGAGCUACACCUUGGCAUCUUUUAAUCACAGCUAGAGUGACUGGGAUGCAGGGCACCAAGUCCCUAGACUGCACACAGCAGAGGGACCCUGGGCCAGGACCACAAAUCCUCCUAGGGCUCUCAGCUUGCGAUGGGAGGGGCUGCCGCAAAGGUCUCUGACAUGCCCUGCAGACAUUUUCCCUGUUGUCUUGGUGGCUCCUAGUUACUUAUGCAAAUUUCUGCAGCUGGCUUGAAUUUCUCCUCAGAAAAUGGGAUUUUCUUUCCUGUUGCAUUGUCAGGCUGCAAAUUUUCCAAACUUUUAUGCUCUGUUUUCCUUUUAAAACUGAAUGCUUUUAACAGUACCCAAG
rnacentral:lncRNA from 10 species